GCCUGUUAGGCAAACGUGCCUAACCGUUGCGUUUUCGUAAAGCAUAGGUCGUCGGUUCAAAUCCGACAGGCGGGCUCCA
rnacentral:tRNA from 1 species